CCAAUCAAACCGUGAGAUAGCUGGUUCUCCCCGAAAGCUAUUUAGGUAGCGCCUCGUGAACUAAUCUUCGGGGGUAGAGCACUGUUUCGGCUAGGGGGUCAUCCCGACUUACCAAACCGAUGCAAACUCCGAAUACCGAAGAAUGUUAUCACGGGAGACACACGGCGGGUGCUAACGUCCGUCGUGAAGAGGGAAACAACCCAGACCGCCAGCUAAGGUCCCAAAGUCAUGGUUAAGUGGGAAACGAUGUGGGAAGGCACAGACAGCCAGGAUGUUGGCUUAGAAGCAGCCAUCAUUUAAAGAAAGCGUAAUAGCUCACUGGUCGAGUCGGCCUGCGCGGAAGAUGUAACGGGGCUAAACCAUGCACCGAAGCUGCGGCAGCGAACGUAUCACUUAAAACGCUUAACGUGACGGCAAAGCCGGCAUGUUCAAGCCACACUAAACGUUGAGUUGGCCGAUGUGCUGACAAACGAACAGGCGUUUUAAGGAUACGUUCGUUGGGUAGGGGAGCGUUCUGUAAGCCGUUGAAGGUGGUCUGUGAGGGCUGCUGGAGGUAUCAGAAGUGCGAAUGCUGACAUAAGUAACGAUAAUGCGGGUGAAAAACCCGCACGCCGGAAGACCAAGGGUUCCUGUCCAACGUUAAUCGGGGCAGGGUGAGUCGACCCCUAAGGCGAGGCUGAAAAGCGUAGUCGAUGGGAAACAGGUUAAUAUUCCUGUACUUGGUGUUACUGCGAAGGGGGGACGGAGAAGGCUAGGCUAGCCGGGCGACGGUUGUCCCGGUUUAAGCAUGUAGGCGGAGUGACCAGGUAAAUCCGGUUGCUUAUCAACGCUGAGGUGUGAUGACGAGUCACUACGGUGAUGAAGUAGUUGAUGCCAUGCUUCCAGGAAAAGCCUCUAAGCAUCAGGUAACAUGAAAUCGUACCCCAAACCGACACAGGUGGUCAGGUAGAGAAUACUCAGGCGCUUGAGAGAACUCGGGUGAAGGAACUAGGCAAAAUGGUGCCGUAACUUCGGGAGAAGGCACGCUGGCAUUAGGUAAAGGGACUUGCUCCCGGCGCCGAAGCCAGUCGCAGAUACCAGCUGGCUGCAACUGUUUAAUAAAAACACAGCACUGUGCAAACACGAAAGUGGACGUAUACGGUGUGACGCCUGCCCGGUGCUGGAAGGUUAAUUGAUGGGGUCAGCCGCAAGGCGAAGCUCUUGAUCGAAGCCCCAGUAAACGGCGGCCGUAACUAUAACGGUCCUAAGGUAGCGAAAUUCCUUGUCGGGUAAGUUCCGACCUGCACGAAUGGCGUAAUGAUGGCCAGGCUGUCUCCACCCGAGACUCAGUGAAAUUGAACUCGCUGUGAAGAUGCAGUGUAC
rnacentral:rRNA from 1 species